rnacentral:rRNA from 1 species
CUAGUUUCAACAACGGAUCACUAGGUUCUGGCAUCGAUAAAAAACGCGUCAAAUUGCGAUACCUAUUGUGAAUUGCAUAAUUCAAUGAAUCUUCCAAUCUUUGAACUCACAUUGCGCCCUUUGGUAUUCCCAACGGCAUGCCUGUUCAACCGUCAUUU